UGGGGAAUAUUGGACAAUGGGCGAAAGCCUGAUCCAGCCAUGCCGCGUGUGUGAAGAAGGUCUUCGGAUUGUAAAGCACUUUAAGUUGGGAGGAAGGGCAGUAAAUUAAUACUUUGCUGUUUUGACGUUACCGACAGAAUAAGCACCGGCUAACUCUGUGCCAGCAGCCGCGGUAAUACAGAGGGUGCAAGCGUUAAUCGGAAUUACUGGGCGUAAAGCGCGCGUAGGUGGUUCGUUAAGUUGGAUGUGAAAUCCCCGGGCUCAACCUGGGAACUGCAUUCAAAACUGACGAGCUAGAGUAUGGUAGAGGGUGGUGGAAUUUCCUGUGUAGCGGUGAAAUGCGUAGAUAUAGGGAGGAACACCAGUGGCGAAGGCGACCACCUGGACUGAUACUGACACUGAGGUGCGAAAGCGUGGGGAGCAAAAG
rnacentral:rRNA from 1 species